GGAAAACUUGUAAGACAUCAAGCCUUGAAGAAUUAGAGUCGAACAUUUGUUUGACUCUUUUGUGUUGAUUUUUUUUUAUGUUUAACCGGGUCAAUUUAUUAAAAAGAAAACCUUCAAUAUCAAAUAUGAAAUAAAAGAUUAAAUAGUAUUGGAGAGAAGUUUUCCAAGUAUUGUUCAUGUAUAUGAUCCGAUUUUUUACAUGUACUUUUACAGCACAUGUGAAGAGAAAAAAUGUAUUUUUUUACAUCAACGAAAACAUAAGAUUUUACAAGUGAAAUACCUAAACUAAACAAGAAUAAUAUGUAAAGUAACUGAAAAUAAUGCAUAAAUAGCUCCAUUAGUAGAAACUAUCUAUACUGUUAGACAGUUUUAAAAUUUGAGUUAUUUUACAGGUGAACCAGUGGUUAACAUGGUUGGAGCAGGCAGAAGAGGAGAGCGAUGAAGAAGAUUAAAGGGAAUGCUGCGAAAAAUACUACAGAGGAUCUAAGUUUACAGCGCAUUGUAGUUGUUGUCAGCAUUUCAUAAUUAAUUCUCUCUUAAGCACCGUAAAACUUUGACGCAGUUACACAUGUGCAUUAAUGGGAAGAAGUUAUCCUUAAAUAAGUAUCGAGGUAAAGGCAUGAUUUGAUAGUGCCCACCUUUUCAUUGGUGGAGUUUAUGUGUUCUAACUUUCAUGGAUACAGACCAUUGGAUAAUGUGGUUGCGGAAUCUAAAUAUACACUGAAAAACAUUCACGUAUCAUCAAGAACAAGAAAUACAAACCUGUAUUAAAACUAAAAGGAUGGUUUAGUCAUGAUCUCUGUCAUUUAUUAUUUAUCAAAACUUAUUGAUAAACUAUAUUGAAAGAUGACAUACUGAGAUAGUAAUGAAGGGAAAAUCUUUGAACAAUACUAUAAUUUAUAUGCAUGUAAAAAGUUGCUCAUGAUGGCCUGAUGGGUUAUAAAUAAAUUGAGAAACUGGUUUGAGAAAGGUAUGGAAGUCUUGUAUAGAUUAUAAAUAAUAACGCCCCCCCCCC
rnacentral:misc_RNA from 1 species